UUUAUAUCAAUUAAGCGGAGGAAAAGAAACCAACAGGGAUUGCCCUAGUAACGGCGAGUGAAGCGGCAACAGCUCAAAUUUGAAAUCUGGCUCUUUCAGAGUCCGAGUUGUAAUUUGCAGAGGGCGCUUUGGCUUUGGCAGCGGUCCAAGUUCCUUGGAACAGGACGUCACAGAGGGUGAGAAUCCCGUACGUGGUCGCUAGCUAUUGCCGUGUAAAGCCCCUUCGACGAGUCGAGUUGUUUGGGAAUGCAGCUCUAAAUGGGAGGUAAAUUUCUUCUAAAGCUAAAUAUUGGCCAGAGACCGAUAGCGCACAAGUAGAGUGAUCGAAAGAUGAAAAGCACUUUGGAAAGAGAGUCAAACAGCACGUGAAAUUGUUGAAAGGGAAGCGCUUGCAGCCAGACUUGCUUGCAGUUGCUCAUCCGGGCUUUUGCCCGGUGCACUCUUCUGUAGGCAGGCCAGCAUCAGUUUGGGCGGUGGGAUAAAGGUCUCUGUCACGUACCUCUCUUCGGGGAGGCCUUAUAGGGGAGACGACAUACCACCAGCCUAGACUGAGGUCCGCGCAUCUGCUAGGAUGCUGGCGUAAUGGCUGUAAGCGGCCCGUCUUGAAACAACGGACCACA
rnacentral:rRNA from 1 species